UACGGAGGGUGCAAGCAUUAAUCGGAUUUAUUGGGCGUAAAGGGCGCGUAGGCGGAUAGAUAAGUCAGGUGUGAAAUCCCGGGGCUCAACCUCGGAACAGCAUGUGAAACUAUCGAUCUAGAGGGUAGGCGGAGAAAACGGAAUUCCACAAGUAGCGGUGAAAUGCGUAGAUAUCAGGAGGAACACCGGUGGUGUAGACGGCUUUCUGG
rnacentral:rRNA from 1 species